AACGCACAUUGCGCCCCUUGGUAUUCCAUGGGGCAUGCCUGUUCGAGCGUCAUUGGUAAAAUCAAGCCCUGCUUGGUGUUGGGUGUUUGUCCCGCCUCCGCGCGUGGACUCGCCCUAAAGAUAUUGGCAGCGGUCGUGUCGGCUUCUCGCGCAGUAUACGCGCUCCGGAGGCAGAUCGACCGGCGUCCACGAAGCUAUUUCAACAGCUUGACCUCGGAUCAGGUAGGGAUACCCGCUGAACUUAA
rnacentral:misc_RNA from 1 species